AGCGAACGCUGGCGGCAGGCCUAACACAUGCAAGUCGAACGAACCUUUCGGGGUUAGUGGCGGACGGGUGAGUAACACGUGGGAACGUGCCUUUAGGUUCGGAAUAACUCAGGGAAACUUGUGCUAAUACCGAAUGUGCCCUUCGGGGGAAAGAUUAAUCGCCUUUAGAGCGGCCCGCGUCUGAUUAGCUAGUUGGUUGAGGUAAUGGCUCACCAAAGCGACGAUGAGUAGCAGUUCUGAGAGGAUGAUCAGCCACAUUGGGAAUGAGACACGGCCCAAACUCCUACGGGAGGCAGAAGUGGGGAAUCUUGCGCAAUGGGCGAAAGCCUGACGCAGCCAUGCCGCGUGAAUGAUGCAGGUCUUAGGAUUGUAAAAUUCUUUAACCGGGGACGAUAAUGACGGUACCCGGAGAAGAAGCCCCGGCUAACUUCGUG
rnacentral:rRNA from 1 species